AUUUUUUAAAAUCAAAACCAAAUCGAUCACGUAGAAUAAUUGCUUAAAAUCGAACCAAAAGAAUCAGUUCGGUUUAUCAAAUUGUGGACUAUUGGAUCUUUGUCAAACAGAUAACUUAUGGAUCGCCGGAACGAAGUUUGAAUUUGUGCUUGAAAUCUUCAAGCAUUUGGUCCUCUACUCUCCUACAAAAAGUGUUGGUACAAUCUUUCUACCCAGCAUCUUUUGGAUCAUAAAACUUUUUAUUUUUCUUAUUAGAUUUAUAAAGCCCCA
rnacentral:lncRNA from 1 species